rnacentral:rRNA from 2 species
ACCUGACUGCUAUCGGAUUGAUACUAAGCCAUGCGAGUCAUUGUAGUAAUACAAGGCAGACGGCUCAGUAACGCGUAGUCAACCUAACCUAUGGACGGGAAUAACCUCGGGAAACUGAGAAUAAUGCCCGAUAGAACACUAUAUCUGGAAUGGUUUGUGUUCCAAAUGAUUUAUCGCCGUAGGAUGGGACUGCGGCCUAUCAGUUUGUUGGUGAGGUAAUGGCCCACCAAGACUAUUACAGGUACGGGCUCUGAGAGGAGUAGCCCGGAGAUGGGUACUGAGACACGGACCCAGGCCCUAUGGGGCGCAGCAGGCGAGAAAACUUUGCAAUGUGCGAAAGCACGACAAGGUUAAUCCGAGUGGUUUGUGCUAAACAGACCUUUUGUUAGUCCUAGAAACACUAACGAAUAAGGGGUGGGCAAGUUCUGGUGUCAGCCGCCGCGGUAAAACCAGCACCUCAAGUGGUCAGGAUGAUUAUUGGGCCUAAAGCAUCCGUAGCCGGCUCUGUAAGUUUUCGGUUAAAUCUGUAUGCUCAACAUACAGGCUGCCGGGAAUACUGCAGAGCUAGGGAGUGGGAGAGGUAGACGGUACUCGGUAGGAAGGGGUAAAAUCCUUUGAUCUAUUGAUGACCACCUGUGGCGAAGGCGGUCUACCAGAACACGUCCGACGGUGAGGGAUGAAAGCUGGGGGAGCAAACCGGAUUAGAUACCCGGGUAGUCCCAGCUGUAAACUAUGCAAACUCAGUGAUGCAUUGGCUUGUGGCCAAUGCAGUGCUGCAGGGAAGCCGUUAAGUUUGCCGCCUGGGAAGUACGUACGCAAGUAUGAAACUUAAAGGAAUUGGCGGGGGAGCACCACAAGGGGUGAAGCCUGCGGUUC